rnacentral:misc_RNA from 1 species
GCCAGAUAUGAAUCCGGCCCCCACGUCAUCUGAAAGUCCUGGGAGAUCCUCGGGCGACGCCAAAAGCUUCUGGUUGGGUCCGGUAAAAGGUUCUGAGGCUUCAUCGUAAAUCUCUUGCAAAAUGUUCUUGAAUGCCGUCCAUCCUUCAUCAGAACUUCCAGCAGGAAUGAUAAUUGUGCUCCGGUUUCUGUUGGCAGAAGCUUCUGAAACCUUCAAGAAUCGCCCUCUUUUGUUCUCUCCCAUAUCAAAGUAAUACACCUUAGUAUCA